rnacentral:tRNA from 1 species
GGGGAGGUGGCCGAGAGGCUGAAGGCGCUCGCCUGCUAAGUGAGUAACGGGGUUAAACCCGUUCGAGGGUUCGAAUCCCUCCCUCUCCGCCG